CUGAGACGAGCAGUUUUAUUCAUAUUCAACAUAAUAUUCUUGCAUUUUGAUGCAACGUUUCAGUGAAGGAAUACUCAUCACCACCACCCGAUGCAAACCACGAUUUCAUCGUCUUUUAAACCUCGAACUCCACAAAAGACUUGAUCAAAAUGAUCCCUACGGUGGGGGAUUCAUUUAUUUAAAACUCUCUUGGCUCUUCCUCGAUGAUUUCUAUCACCGAAAUUUUCGUGCAGAAUAUUUAUCGCUUGCAGAAGCUUUUCUGCCCUGUAAUGUCAAGUUUCUUAUCUGCGUAGGACUCGGACUUUUUUCAGGACAAAACCGCAUCAUCAUGAAAGCUGGGCCUGGCAAAAAAAUAAAUGAUUCAAUAGUUGAGUAAUCAAGCUCAGGAACGACGUAUAUCUUAUGUCCAGCUAAUUUUCUGUUUUGCUGCUAACAAGUCACCUUCAGUCCAAUGUACGUCUUGCCCGUCCCAGGUGGUCCCUGGAUGAUUGCAAACUCCUUUGUCAGUGCCAUCUGUACCGCCUUGAGUUGAGAAGAGUCGAGUUCAAGGUCUUCUGCACUUGGCC